GGGUGGCAUAUUUGGCAUCGUUGUGGUCGUCAGUAGCUGCAGCAGAGUGAAGUUCACCAUCGAUUUGCCGGGUAUCGGAUGCUUGGCCAUGUAGAACUGCGUGUGACCUUCGUUGCGGUAAGCUAGCUGAUGUACCGUCGGUGUAGGGGAGGGUGUGCCCUCCUCCAGCCGAUAACCCUCAUAGGCUGGCUUCUCCAGGCUGGCCAAAUAGUCGGGUAAAAUGGGCACUCACAUUGUCCAGCAGCAGAGCUAUGUACACAAUUCCAGCUAUCAGGCAGCGAUUCUCGAUGUUGCCAUUCGACUGGGGUGUUGAGCUGCGCCUGGCGGAAACGUUCAGCUUGGCCGCUGCCUGGCCACUUGUUGACUUCGCCGACAUGACACGCGCGCGCCAACAAUCCAAAUAAAUAUGCAACACUAAUACAGACGCACAAAGGCUGAAUGUUAUUACACUGGCAUAUGGCCGAGAAGAGCGGCGCCGCAAAAUAUGCUACACAAUAAUAAGCGCACACACACACAAACACACACGAACACACACUCACACGCAUGCACACACACAGCGUAAAAAGCUCGUUUAGAAGCAGAGUUUUCGCGCUCUUUAACCAACAGGUGGUGUUGCUGCCUUGUCAACGUGUAUGUGGCUAUUGAAAGGUUGCAACAAGCCGCCAAAUGCUUUUACUGGCAGCAUGCGAGCCGAACGAAACGAACGGGCACACGAGCCACAGCUACGAAAGGAAAUCAUCUAUAUUCAACAUGUGGUCCAAAAGUAGAGCGUAUGCACUGCUCCAUAUAGUUGAAAAAUCAAAUGCGAAUUCAUAACAAAUUGAACCAAAAUAUAGUGCUGCCUGCCAACAAGACAUUAUCUAUGUGGCAACCCCGAACAAAACAUAAUUAUGCAUGCAUUUCACAAUUUAUCGAUCUCCCAGCCAGAUCGUUGGUGCCUCUUUGUCCAUUUAUACGGUAUUUUAUGGUAUUUAUUAUGGAAAAAUAUUCUCUUAAUUUUAAUUAAAUGUAUAUUUUAUUUAAACUAA